UUACUGAGUUUACGCUCUACAACCCUUUGUGAACAUACCUAUAACUGUUGCUUCGGCGGGUAGGGUCUCCGUGACCCUCCCGGCCUCCCGCCCCCGGGCGGGUCGGCGCCCGCCGGAGGAUAACCAAACUCUGAUUUAACGACGUUUCUUCUGAGUGGUACAAGCAAAUAAUCAAAACUUUUAACAACGGAUCUCUUGGUUCUGGCAUCGAUGAAGAACGCAGCGAAAUGCGAUAAGUAAUGUGAAUUGCAGAAUUCAGUGAAUCAUCGAAUCUUUGAACGCACAUUGCGCCCGCCAGCAUUCUGGCGGGCAUGCCUGUUCGAGCGUCAUUUCAACCCUCAAGCUCUGCUUGGUGUUGGGGCCCUACAGCUGAUGUAGGCCCUCAAAGGUAGUGGCGGACCCUCCCGGAGCCUCCUUUGCGUAGUAACUUUACGUCUCGCACUGGGAUCCGGAGGGACUCUUGCCGUAAAACCCCCAAUUUUCCAAAGGUUGACCUCGGAUCAGGUAGGAAUACCCGCUGAACUUAAGCAUAUCAAUAAGCGGAGGAAAAGAAACCAACAGGGAUUGCCUCAGUAACGGCGAGUGAAGCGGCAACAGCUCAAAUUUGAAAUCUGGCCCUAGGCCCGAGUUGUAAUUUGCAGAGGAUGCUUUUGGUGCGGUGCCUUCCAAGUUCCCUAGAACGGGACGCCAGAGAGGGUGAGAGCCCCGUACAGUUGGACACCAAGCCUUUGUAAAGCUCCUUCGACGAGUCGAGUAGUUUGGGAAUGCUGCUCAAAAUGGGAGGUAUAUUUCUUCUAAAGCUAAAUACCGGCCAGAGACCGAUAGCGCACAAGUAGAGUGAUCGAAAGAUGAAAAGCACUUUGAAAAGAGGGUUAAACAGCACGUGAAAUUGUUAAAAGGGAAGCGCUUGUGACCAGACUUGCGUCCGGUGAAUCACCCAGCUCUCGCGGCUGGGGCACUUCGCCGGCUCAGGCCAGCAUCAGCUCGCUGUCGGGGACAAAAGCUUCAGGAACGUAGCUCUCUUCGGGGAGUGUUAUAGCCUGUUGCAUAAUACCCUUCGGCGGGC
rnacentral:misc_RNA from 1 species